rnacentral:rRNA from 1 species
CAGCCGUAAACUAUGCGCGUUAGGUGUACUGGUGACCACGAGUCACCGGGGUGCCGAAGGGAAACCGUGAAACGUGCCGCCUGGGAAGUACGGUCGCAAGGCUGAAACUUAAAGGGAUUGGCGGGGGAGCACCACAACGGGUGGAGCCUGCGGUUUAAUUGGACUCAACGCCGGAAAUCUCACCGGAUAGGACAGACAUAUGAUAGUCGGGCUGAAGACUCUACUUGAUGAUCUGAGAGGAGGUGCAUGGCGUCAGUGACU